rnacentral:rRNA from 1 species
UCCUACGGGGCGCAGCAGUGGGGGAUAUUGCACAAUGGGGGGAACCCUGAUGCAGCGACGCCGCGUGGGUGAAGAAGCGCCUCGGCGCGUAAAGCCCUGUCAGCAGGGAAGAAAAUGACGGUACCUGAAGAAGAAGCCCCGGCUAACUACGUGCCAGCAGCCGCGGUAAUACGUAGGGGGCAAGCGUUAUCCGGAUUUACUGGGUGUAAAGGGGGCGCAGACGGCGAUGCAAGCCAGGAGUGAAAGCCCGCGGCCCAACCCCGGGACUGCUCUUGGAACUGCGUGGCCGGAGUGCAGGAGGGGCA